AUACGGAGGGUCCAAGCGUUAUCCGGAUUCAUUGGGUUUAAAGGGUCCGCAGGCGGGAAAAUAAGUCAGUGGUGAAAGCCUACAGCUCAACUGUAGAACUGCCAUUGAUACUGUUUUUCUUGAGUAUAGAUGAAGUGGGCGGAAUAUAUCAUGUAGCGGUGAAAUGCAUAGAUACGAUAUAGAACACCGAUUGCGAAGGCAGCUCACUAAACUAUUACUGACGCUCAGGGACGAAAGCGUGGGGAGCGAACAGGAUUAGAUACCCUAGUAGUCC
rnacentral:rRNA from 1 species